rnacentral:misc_RNA from 1 species
AGGUCCGCCGCACUAGCACGGCUCUGCGCUAACAGUAUCCGUCAUAUCGACUUCGUCUGAACCCGGCAAGCGAGCAACAAAGAAAAGGCCAGACACACACACAUACGCGCGCACGCGCGUGCCGCCGCCGCCGCCGCUGCUGCCCCACCCCCUCCCUCUUCCUUUAUCCGCUUUAUUGCAGGAACGAAAAGCGGACGCCCUGCCACCAUCAUGCCGUACAGCAAGGCAUGGCGCAGCGCCAUGUACCCGGACUUCCGGGACCAGGGUGCUUACGUGGACUACAAGGCAACCAAGGACAUCCUCCACCGCAUGAAGGAAAACAUCGCCAACCCGUCAACCCCAGACGAGCUCUAUGCCUCUCUCCUGGAGCAAAAGAUGCGAGUGUACGAGUGGUGCGAGCGCAAGCAGGCGGAGCUGCUGACUCUGUCGCUGCGCCUCUACGAGUGCUCCAAGUACCUGACAGAGGAAGAGGUGGUGACGAACCGCAGUAUCACCCUAAGCAACCAGCCCAAGAGCGCGGCGAAGCGCCUGCUGCCGCGCGAAGCGCGCCUCAUCGCGGAUGCUAUCAUGCACGAGCUGCUCCGCUUCGUCGAGUGCCGCAACCUCAACACUGACACCAUCGAGCACAUCAUUGGCCGCAUGUACCGCUACGCCGUGCUGGGCCCGACCGGCGACCGCUGGAAGAAUAUCUACGUCGAGUACGAUUAUGACCAGAUCUCCGUCGAGGAGGUCUUCUGCCACCUGUCGCGCGUCUACGACCGAGUCAAGCAGACGGAGGAGCGCAUUUCUGCCAAGGGGAAGCUCAGCAUCCCCACCGGCGCCGAGGGCUCACAGGUGUUUGACCGCCGUUCCGUCAAGUACUGGGUGCACCUGCAGGACCUCCCUUUCGUGAUUGCGCGCAUUGUCCCGCAUCUGCCGCUCAGCACCUUCAAGGACACGUACAAGGAGAGUAAGGAGAAGGGCGUCCCGUUCCGCCUCUUCUCGCCCGUCAGCUCCGUCUACUACGACAACAACAAGUUUCUCUUCUACCACCGCCGCCUGGAGCGCAUUGAGGGGAGCACGCUGAUCCGCAUGCGGUGGUACUCGGACACCUACGCCGAGGACUGGAACGCGCUGCAGGAAGACGACAACGUGUUCAUGGAGAUCAAGGUGCACCACGAGGCGUGGAGCGGCGAGCGCAGCAACAAGCGCCGCUUCGCCAUCAAAGAGAAGGAGGUGGACGCGUUUGUGCACGCGCAGCUGAGCCUGCUGCCGGCGGUGGAGAAGCUGAAGCGCCGAAACGCGAGCGAGGAGGAGCAGGAGGCGUUCAAGUCCCUCUCGGCGGAGAUCCUCUCAAAGAUACACGCCUACGACUUGAAACCAGUGCUGCGGACGCAGUGCGGCCGCGCCGCCUUUCAGCGGGGCGCCGACCAGAGGGUGCGUGUGAGCAUCGACACAGAUCUGCGCAUGUCUGCCGAGGACUUCGGGCUCGACCACCACUGGCGCUACACCGGCGGCGACUCGCCCGUCUCCCACUUCCCCUACGCGGUGGUGGAGGUGAAGCUGCAGUGCGCCGAAAACGAGCGCAUCGCGCCAUGGAUCGAGGAGCUGAUGGGGUGCCGCUACAUGGAAAGUGUCCCUAAGUUCAGCAAGUACGCGCAUGGCAUCGCCUCUCUGUACGGGCACACCUCCUUCAUCAGCAUGGUCCCGUACUGGAUGCACCAGCUCGACAUUGACAUCCGUGCCUCGACGAAGCCGGAAGUGCACCUUUGGGAUCCGACGAUGGGCCUGGCCGCCGGCUGCCUCGAGCGCACGGCCGAUCGCUUGAUCUUCGGUACGAACCCGGCGCAGACGCAGACGGUGGGCGCGUCGGAGGCGCAGUUCCUGCCUCGCACGGACUACGCUAAGAUUUACCAGCGUGUUCUGCGCAGCCUGCAGCACGAAACCGACGGCACCGCGGAGAGCUCCGCAAACGCGUCCGUGGCGGCGUCGACGACGAACUCCUUCACCGCUGUGGACUGCAUCGCUGACGGAAAGGCAGACAAGAGAACGAAAGACGCUGGCCAGGGCGCGGUGCAGCCUGGCCUCUUCCCGGUGGUGCAGUAUUCGGUGGAUCGACGCCACAUGGCGUACACCACCUUCCACCUCUACCCCUACUCGGAGAACGGCACGGAGCCGCUCUGCUACGACCCAAAGGACAGCAAGAACGCGGCCGCACAGGUGUUCUACGGAAAGAUCCCGUGGCAGACGGGCAAGCGCAUCAAGGUGCCGCAGAAGUACGACCCCAAGACGCUGCUGACGUCGGAGCGGUACAUGGUUAAAUGGAUGCAGCUCGCCACGUCCUUCGGCCUCCUGGGCCUGACCAGCAUUCGGUUCGGCAAGGGGCUCUUUCUGCCGCAGGACGUCGCCCACCACUCGCCGUUCUGGCAGGACAACUUUCACGUCGUGACGGGGGUUGUCAUGGUUGCCAUCGCCCUCCUCACGCUGGCGUACGCGUAUAUCGGCUUCAAGGCACGGUCGCGGCGUGUCUACGCUCGCCGCAAGAUCCGCUAUGACGACGUGGUGGGGCCCACGUGGCUUACGUUCUUCGUGGCGGCGAGCUUCGUUGCGAUUACGAUGACGCACAUCGCACGGCGGUACGGUCCAAUGCUGACAGGCAGCGACUCGUUCUAGCGGCGCGCGUGCGUCGCUGCCGCGCUGGUGGGAGGGUCCCGGCGUCAACUUCGUCCCAUUGUGGGUGGGUGAAGCAGAGAAACAGCGAGGCAUGGCGUAGUGCAGCGCGCUCGCCGCCCCCGUCCCCUUCCCUCCCCUCCUCUCAAACUCUACGUCGCAGGCGCGGUGGUUGCUUCGUUCACUCGGGUUCGCUGAUGCAGGCGUGCGUGCGUGUGUGCGUGCACCGCUGCUCUUCCCUUCUCUCCCUUUAAGUACACGGUGGCUAACGUUGGCACGCGCCGGCGUCCUUUCGCGCAGGGGCGCCGAUGCGGGCAACAACUC